GCGAAGUUAACCACUCCGCCAUGGGGCAGCCCCAUAAAAUGGAUAUAAAUUAGGAACAAUGUGAAUAGUAUUUAAAAUGAGAAAAGGAAUCCCAGCUUGGUUCCUCUCUUCUGAGAUCUCUUUAGGCAGAGAAAGCUCACAUGGAGCUGCCUCCUGGUUGCAGUCCAGCUUCCACUCACUUCCCAGAAUAUGCCAUAGCUCCCCUCCUCCCAGCUUCUUGGUGCACAGCAUAAGGAUACGGCCCAUCCCUGAGUGAAGGGGGAGCGGUGAGGGCCCCAUUUCAAUGUGGAGACGAGGUCUGGCCCUGCGCUCAGCCAGGGAGAGGGUGAGAAGGGCCGGCCUCUGGAAGUUCUCCGAUGGUUGGAUCCACAGGACUUCCCAGACGAGAUGCAGGUGGAAGAACACCCAUCCCUUUGCUCGUGGGACGAUCCAGCGAAGGGGGAGAAACAGGCUGGGCCAUGACCAUGGCAGGAGCAGUGUCCUCAAGAGGGGCAGAGACCCUGAUGCGGUUCCCUGGGACUCCAAGCCCAGGGCUGGGCCUCGUCCCCUUCUGGCUGAGCCAGGGAUGGUGAGGGCCAGGGCUGGCCUGGCACUGGACCCACUGGGCAGUCUGGGCCAGGGCAACAAAUGCUUGGGAAGGGUCCAGGGUGGGGUCUGCUCUCACAUAGGCCUGGUCUUGUCCUUUGGGGGAGCUGCCCACCUAGGCCCCGUAGACUGGUCCUGCCCAGCCCAGUUCUCCCCGUGGAUAGUGUUGAGGCUGUGCUGGGGGCCAGUCCCACCUCUGGGCCUCAGCUUCCUUGUCUGUCCUAUGGAGCCACGACAGCUGCUGAGGGUCCCAUCUGUGACAUGAGCAGGGCCUGUCAGGGCCAUGAGUGGUAAGGGGUACUCUGGGUGCCACAACAAUGGGCACCCACCCCCCAUACGCACACCCUGCUCCUGAGGUGGCCCACCUGCUGCCUUCCACACCCCUGCUCCAUCCAGCACACAGGCCUGCUACCUACACCUUGUUCCACAUCUGCGCACUUCUGCCCCUCAGGCGUCCUGACCUUUCUCCUUGCUGGGAAUGCUCUUCCCCUAUUUUCCUGGAAACCACCCAUCCUGCAGGACCCAACCCUAAUGUUCCUCUGGAUCUUUCCUCAUGGGAGCAUCGCCUUACCAUUCCCAGUUCUCAGGAACAAAAAAGAGGAUGGAUUCUGGGCCUGGGAGGCUCAGGACCAAGUCAACAAGGGGUAGAGGAGGGAGGGGGGUGAGGGGGCUUCCUGAGGCCAGCCCCCUCACGUUCAUGGAGGUGGGCCCAGGCCUUGAGCACAGCACCAGACGGCCUGGUGCCUUGUUACUGUGCCCCAGUCACUAUAUUUACAGAUGGGGAAAUCAAGGUACGAGUGUGCCUGCAGGAUGUCUGGCUCCAGUGCCAGUGUCUCCUCAGGGGCCUAGACCUGGGAGGGGAGCCCCCUGAGAUUCCUGAUGAGGUCACUCCCCCACCUGGGGAUCAGUCCCCGGGGAGCCUCCAGCAAAUCACGUUUGAGUAUCACCUCCUUCACACAACAGUAAUCAGGCCAUGAAAUAAAAUAACAAUAGCUAGGAAGGAAGCACUGACAGGAAAGUGUGCCUUUAUUGCACUUUGCCUACAUACUCAUGCCACUAAAAAAUCCAAAUAAAUAUGGUACCAGAAAGGA